GAUUCUCUCUUCCUCUCCGACCUCUUCACCUUCUUCCGGCCAUAUCUCCUCCAUCCGGCGACGGAUUUUGACGUGUAAGCAAUGAGAAGAAGAGGACGGUCACUGUAGCCGAACGGAGGUUUCAUCGUUUUCCGGCGAUUCCGGCCACCUCCGGUCCCCAUUUCGCCAUCGAAGGGGAAUGUCGCGAGCUACGGUUAGAUGAAGGAACUCGUUUGCGUGGUUGCCAAUAGUACUUUUGCAGGCGAAUUAGUGGAGGUCGGGCGUACAUGACAUUU
rnacentral:lncRNA from 1 species